CCUACGGGAGGCAGCAGUGGGGAAUUUUGGACAAUGGGCGCAAGCCUGAUCCAGCAAUGCCGCGUGCAGGAUGAAGGCCUUCGGGUUGUAAACUGCUUUUGUACGGAACGAAACGGUUCUUUCUAAUAAAGAGAGCUAAUGACGGUACCGUAAGAAUAAGCACCGGCUAACUACGUGCCAGCAGCCGCGGUAAUACGUAGGGUGCGAGCGUUAAUCGGAAUUACUGGGCGUAAAGCGUGCGCAGGCGGUUAUAUAAGACAGAUGUGAAAUCCCCGGGCUCAACCUGGGACCUGCAUUUGUGACUGUAUAGCUAGAGUACGGUAGAGGGGGAUGGAAUUCCGCGUGUAGCAGUGAAAUGCGUAGAUAUGCGGAGGAACACCGAUGGCGAAGGCAAUCCCCUGGACCUGUACUGACGCUCAUGCACGAAAGCGUGGGGAGCAAACAGGAUUAGAUACCCUGGUAGUCCACGCCCUAAACGAUGUCAACUGGUUGUUGGGUCUUCACUGACUCAGUAACGAAGCUAACGCGUGAAGUUGACCGCCUGGGGAGUACGGCCGCAAGGUUGAAACUCAAAUGAAUUGACGG
rnacentral:rRNA from 1 species